GACGAACGCUGGCGGCGUGCUUAACACAUGCAAGUCGAACGGAAAGGCCCUGCUUUUGUGGGGUGCUCGAGUGGCGAACGGGUGAGUAACACGUGAGUAACCUGCCCUUGACUUUGGGAUAACUUCAGGAAACUGGGGCUAAUACCGGAUAGGAGCUCCUGCUGCAUGGUGGGGGUUGGAAAGUUUCGGCGGUUGGGGAUGGACUCGCGGCUUAUCAGCUUGUUGGUGGGGUAGUGGCUUACCAAGGCUUUGACGGGUAGCCGGCCUGAGAGGGUGACCGGCCACAUUGGGAGUGAGAUACGGCCCAGACUCCUACGGGAGGCAGGAGUGGGGAAUAUUGCACAAUGGGCGGAAGCCAGAUGCAGCAACGCCGGGUGCGGGAUGACGGCAUUCGGGUUGGAAACCGCUUUCGCCUGUGACAAAGCGUGAGGGACGGUAAUGGGUAAAGAAGCACCGGCUAACUACGU
rnacentral:rRNA from 1 species